GAUGAACGCUGACAGAAUGCUUAACACAUGCAAGUCUUUGGCAAAUCUGUGCUUGCACAGGCUAGCCAAGGCGGACGGGUGAGUAACGCGUAAAGAACUUGCCCUGCAGACAGGGAUAACAGACGGAAACGACUGAUAAUACCUGAUACAAUUGCCAGCACGCAUGUGCCCGGCAAUGAAAAGUGAUGCUGCAGGAGAGCUUUGCGUCCUAUUAGCUUGUUGGUGAGGUAACGGCUCACCAAGGCGAUGAUAGGUAGCCGGCCUGAGAGGGUGAACGGCCACAAGGGGACUGAGAUACGGCCCUUACUCCUACGGGAGGCAGCAGUGGGGAAUAUUGGACAAUGGGGGCAACCCUGAUCCAGCAAUUCUGUGUGCACGAAGAAGGUUUUCGGAUUGUAAAGUGCUUUCAGCAGGGAAGAAGAAAGUGACGGUACCUGCAGAAGAAGCGACGGCUAAAUACGUGCCAGCAGCCGCGGUAAUACGUAUGUCGCAAGCGUUAUCCGGAAUUAUUGGGCAUAAAGGGCAUCUAGGCGGCCAGACAAGUCUGGGGUGAAAACUUGCGGCUCAACCGCAAGCCUGCCCUGGAAACUGUUUGGCUAGAGUGCUGGAGAGGUGGACGGAACUGCACGAGUAGAGGUGAAAUUCGUAGAUAUGUGCAGGAAUGCCGAUGAUGAAGAUAGUUCACUGGACGGUAACUGACGCUGAAGUGCGAAAGCUGGGGGAGCGAACAGGAUUAGAUACCCUGGUAGUCCCAGCCGUAAACGAUGAUUACUGGGUGUGGGCAUGAAGAAUGUCCGUGCCGAAGCUAAUGCGAUAAGUAAUCCGCCUGGGGAGUACGGCCGCAAGGCUGAAACUCAAAGGAAUUGACGGGGACCCGCACAAGCGGUGGAGCAUGUGGUUUAAUUCGACGCAACGCGAGGAACCUUACCAGAUCUUGACAUCCCACGUAUGCCUGCGAGAGCAGGCAGUGCCUUCGGGGACGUGGAGACACGUGGUGCAUGGCUGUCG
rnacentral:rRNA from 1 species